GAAUAUUGGACAAUGGGCGCAAGCCUGAUCCAGCCAUGCCGCGUGAGUGAUGAAGGCCUUAGGGUUGUAAAGCUCUUUCGCCGGUGAAGAUAAUGACGGUAACCGGAGAAGAAGCCCCGGCUAACUUCGUGCCAGCAGCCGCGGUAAUACGAAGGGGGCUAGCGUUGUUCGGAAUUACUGGGCGUAAAGCGCACGUAGGCGGAUAUUUAAGUCGGGGGUGAAAUCCCAGGGCUCAACCCUGGAACUGCCUCCGAUACUGGGUAUCUCGAGUCCGAGAGAGGUGAGUGGAAUUCCGAGUGUAGAGGUGAAAUUCGUAGAUAUUCGGAAGAACACCAGUGGCGAAGGCGGCUCACUGGCUCGGAACUGACGCUGAGGUGCGAAAGCGUGGGGAGCAAACAGG
rnacentral:rRNA from 1 species